rnacentral:lncRNA from 1 species
CACUCUUUGAAAAAUAAAAGUAUGAAUUAUAUCACAGGUAAGUUACAAUAUGAAGAGCUUUUGUCAAUGCAAAAUGUUCUGAUCAUAAAUCAGGUAUUAUCAAGGAAGAUAAAGAAGCUCAAAUGAUGGUGAAAGAAAUACUCCAUGAACGGUUGUGUUCGGCUGGAAUCCACGGAGGAGAUGAUGCCCGAUGCUAGGGCGUACCUGAAAACACUCUGCACUCAAGUCAGUAUAUAUGAUUGAGUUGGGUAAGAGGUCUAGAAUAAGACAUAUCUUAAUAGGUGAUGAUGUGAGACAUACCUUAAUCAGAUUUCACAGUAAGUUUGUAGUCGAAAACAUUGACAGAUAUAUUGUCCACGAUAUCAUGCUUUCCAAAAACAGCCAAGAGCAUCCAACAAUAACAAAUAGGGCAAUCCCUCAUGUCCAACCCCAAUUGGAAAAGAUAGCACUGACUACUGAGGAGUACUUAACACAUUUACAAGUAGAUAUUUACGGUUCAAUAACCAUGCUUCAGCCAACUAGAUAUAUAACUCAAUAAAUAUAACUCUGUCGCAUAAGUGGUAAGAUCUAGCAUACUGUUUCCGAUUUCCAUGUGCAAGUUGGGCUUCAUGAACCCAACUUGGAGUCUCACAUCGGAAGUCAUGAAUCCGGUGUGAGAGUUUAUAUAGGAUUGGACAAUCCUCCCCUUUGAAUCAUGGUUUUGAGGUGGAGUUAGGUUCAGUCUGUAUCAUUUGAACCCAACUUGGACAUGGAAAUCAGUAACACAUACAACUG